UAAUACGUACUGUGCAAACGUUAUUCGGAAUCACUGGGCUUAAAGGGUGCGUAGGCGGCCAGAUAAGUAGGAUGUGAAAUCCCCCGGCCUAACCGGGGAACUGCGUUCUAAACUGUUUGGCUUGAGUAAGAUAGGGGUGUGUGGAACUUCCAGUGGAGCGGUGAAAUGUGUUGAUAUUGGAAGGAACGCCGGUAGCGAAAGCGACACACUGGGUCUUAACUGACGCUGAGGCACGAAAGCCAGGGUAGCGAACGGGAUUAGAUACCCCGGUAGUCCUGGCUGUAAACGUUGAGUACUAGACGGGAGGGGCUUCGGUCUUUCCGGUUGUAGAGAAAUCAUUAAGUACUCCGCCUGGGGAGUAUGGUCGCAAGGCUG
rnacentral:rRNA from 1 species